UAAGGAAUAUUGCUCAAUGGGAGAAAUCCUGAAGCAGCAACGCCGCGUGGAGGAUGAAGGGUCUAUGACUUGUAAACUCCUGUAAAGAAGGAAAAAAUUCCCAUUUGAUGGGAGAUGAUGGUACUUCUGGAGUAAGCCCCGGCUAACUACGUGCCAGCAGCCGCGGUAAUACGUAGGGGGCAAGCGUUGUCCGGAUUUACUGGGUGUAAAGGGUGCUCAGGCGGAUUUGUAAGUCAGAGGUGAAAUCUUACAGCUUAACUGUGAAACUGCCUUUGAUACUGCAAGCCUAGAGUAUGGAAGAGAGUGAUGGAAUAUCUGGUGUAGCAGUGAGAUGCGUAGAUAUCAGAUAGAACACCAAUGGCGAAGGCAGUCACUUGGUCCAUUACUGACGCUAAAGCACGAAAGCGUGGGUAGCAAACA
rnacentral:rRNA from 1 species